AGCUUAUUUCUUUUGUUUUUGUUAUAGGAUGAUGGUCUAGCCUUUGACUUAACUGAAGAGCCUGUGUUACUAUAUUUGGUUCUUUGGUAUCUACAUCCGUUUGUAUUACACGUUUUACUAUAAGUUCUGUUAAUGUUGUUAGAAGCGAAUUGGCUUCUUCAACAAAUUUGGCAAUUUGUACGAAAUAAAGGAUUGGAAAUUAAUUUUAAAGUCCUCUAAAGGACUCUAACGGAGGCAUUGAGUCUUCAUCUUCAGCUCUGGGCAGCUGGAAUAACAUGUCAGCACUGUGACCCUGGGUGAAAGUAGCAGCCACUACAUCUGAUCUGAAACAUUUGUGUGUGGUAUAAGAAGUCUUAAGACCUGCCACUCCAUUAGCCUUUGACCUGAAUCUCUAGUGAACACAAGAGUCCAGCACAUGUGUCCUCAGCCCAUGAACAUCUUUGAUGCAAUCAUCUCCAUGUAUCUGCUAUCAGUGAGAGCAAG